AUAAAAACAUUGAUAGAGAGAGUAGAUAUAGUAAUUUCUUAUCAGGGAAAAAAUGCCAUGGACUGAAAGCAUUUUUAGAAACCUAUAUUGAAGUUCACUCUGGAGUUCUAACUGUGAAAUAUAAAGUAGUAGUUAGCGGCAUAGUCGUUAUUUGAAAUUAAGUGAGUACUAAUUUUUUAGUACUAAUUAGGGUGGUACCACGGAUAUGAAUACCCCGUCCCUUGU
rnacentral:ncRNA from 1 species